AGAGCAAAGCCUUCCCACUGCGGCCCACAGCCAGAUGCGCAGGGCAGGGCCUGGGGUGGAGAGGUCUUGGCUCGUGGCCUGACCCGAGGCCGGCGAGGACCUCCCACCAGUGCCCUUGGGGACACUUCCCAGAGCCCAGAGCUUAACGCCCAGGCCAGGUGGCGGAGUUCACAGCCGCGGAGCCGUCCAGCCCGGCGAGCUCCGACCGGCUGCGUGGGCCAGGCCACAGUGGGGUGAGCGGACCAGACCCUUGCACAAAGCUGGGCGACCUCUCGGCUCACCUCGCAUCGCUGUUGGUUAAUGCAGGCCGCUCACCAGUCCUUGCUGGCCAACAUGGAGGAUGGUGACAGGCACCAGGCAACCACAGCCCGAACGCACUCCAUCUCACACGGAAGUGUAUCACGUGGGUGUGAGGAACGUAAAACCACAGGACAACUGAAAAUAGCACGGAGUGCAUGUGGCUCAGCUGUGCUGCUGAGCUGGGCGGCCGCGCCUCCUGAGAAUGGAGCAGAGGCUGAGGGUGUGGAGGAGGCGCAGGAGCACUGCAGCCAGAGGCGGCCGGAACACAGGCUGAGGACAGACAGAAGACUGAGGGAGGCCCGGCCGGAGGAGGACGGGACACAGAUGCGAGACAGACGGCGGGGGUGGUCAGGUGCUUCCUCCCUCUCGUGUGUGCCGGACACAGCCAGGAGCUCCUCUGAGGAGGGCAGUGUGUGUGACCAGGCUCUUGGGAACAAGGCGGGCACAGCACACAGAAGGCAGAUGGAUCCUCCCAUGGGAAAGGUGCGCUCAGCCCAGAGGACACACAGCGUCCCCACCCUGGCGACAAGGAAGCCGGCUGCAGCACUGCCGCCUGUCAGGAAGGAGACCCGGAGGGAAGCGGCCUCUUCCUACCUAGGCAGAAGUGCGGACGCCUGGAUGAGAGCCAGACGUCACUUGAACACGCCUGUGGCAAACGAGCCCGACGUGGAGAAGAGGUGGAGACUCCUCAGACAAGCAUGGGCUGUGCUGUCCUCUCCCCACUCCCGAUUUAGCACAAAAUGAACCCAACCGUAGCCUUCAGGGGGAAGGGAAGUCAAAGAAGGGCAGGAGAGGCGGGCACCCCGUGGCCAUCCCGGGACCUGUCCCCCAUGUAUGUGGAAGAUUUCCAGGAAUGUUUCCUCCUACCGACAGCCAGCAGCUACCGAGCUCCUCCUCCCUUUCGAAGAGGCAGCUGCCUUCUCUGUGCUACAGCAGGCCACAGCGAAGAGCACAGUCUCUGACCUGGGAAUUCCUAAACCCGGGGGAAGCUGCACCCUGGUCUGUGUUUGCUUUGGUUUUGUUUCAUUUCUUGGCUUUCUAUGAGCUGUAUUUAAUUUUUAUUGACACAUACGAACGUUUAUAUAUAUGGAGUUCAUGUGUGUAACAGACAAACACCUAACAUCCACAACUUAAAGAGUAGACAUUUACUUUGGCUCAUGGUGUGGGGGUUUCAGCCUGUGGUCAGCUGGCUGCAAGGCGGAAGCGGCCAGGUGAAAGGAAGUGGGGUAGGAAAGCUGCUCACCUCAUGGCAGUCAGGAAGCAGAGAGAGAAGGGAGGGAGGAGUCAAGACAGCUACACUGCCCCUCAGGUCGCACACCCAGGGACCUGUCCUCUUUGAGCAGGCCCCCACACACGACGUGCUUGGAGAGCAUUUUAGAUCUACACCUUAACCAUGUGAUAAUUCGAUACUCGUCCACAAAACACGCUGAUCAAAUGGUGGGAGUUGGCAUUCCCUUCUCACUGAACAUGUUUUUCUUUGUACUUGUAGGCUACACAUUCCUUUUCCAGCUCUUUAUGACGCAGACAAUGGCCUGCUAUAGACUGUAGUCACCUUCCUGUGCUUAGAACACUGGGACUCACUCUUCCCAUGUGACGGUUGCAACACCUGAUUGAACUCUUAACACCCUGGCCCUGGCUGGCCUCUGGGAACUGCCACUCUACCCUCCUACGAAAUCGGCUUUUUAGUGUCUACACAUGACUGAGAUCAGGCGGUAUUUAUCUUUGGCAUAUUCCCGUGAACAUAACAACCUCCAGUUCCAUCUGUGAUGCUGAAAAGAACAGAUUCCACUCCUCUUUAUCACUAAAUAAUAUUCCACUGUGUUUACACAGCAGCUUCUCGGCCCAUGAGUCCUUCCAGGACGCCUCAGUCCCACACCUGGCUGUUGUGGACAGUGUGGCCACAAACCCGACAAAGCAGAGGUCUCUUUGCCGCACUGAUGCCUUGAUCUGGGUUUACAGAGAGCUUAGGGAGAAGAGUUAGACAGUGGCUCUGACUUUAACACAUUUUUAAAAGGGUUGGGCAAAGGCAGACUGGCAAGCCCAGCAUGAGCAGUGGGAGAGAUCGCGGACUGAAUCUUCCUGGGUGGCAGCUGCCUCUGGCCCCCAGAGGGGAGCGGUGUUGGAGGCGCGGAAGAGUCCACGAGGAGAGCAAGCUGAGAAUGAAGCCAAUCCUGCCAGCCCCAGAAGGGGCCCCAAGGAUGACAGCAGAGCGGCUUGGCUCACGUAGGAAGGGUCGGGGAGACCGAGGCUGUCUGGAGCAGUCUUAAUCUUAACAGCAAAAGGAAAGAGAUGCGGGGAAGGUCAGGAAGGCUGGGAAAGGGCAGGGAGCUGCACUUCCGGGCCCACCUCUCCCACUCUGGGUUGGCGCUGGAGUUGCUGACUUCCUUCCUGGUGAGCCAGGUGCUCAGGCGGUCACCUGCAGGGUCUCUGCACCCCACGACAUCUCUGUCUCUGCCCAGCACCACCCCUGUGGAGCCUGCGUGCUGCGCCACUCCGAGGACCACUGGGUAAGUCGCGUGGAAGGACGCAGGCCAGGUCAGUGGCUCAGUCCAGGAGCUGCCCCAUGGCGCCAAAGCGGUUCUCAGAAU